GUGGGGAAUAUUGGACAAUGGGCGCAAGCCUGAUCCAGCCAUGCCGCGUGAGUGAUGAAGGCCUUAGGGUUGUAAAGCUCUUUCAGUGGGGACGAUAAUGACGGUACCCACAGAAGAAGCCCCGGCUAACUUCGUGCCAGCAGCCGCGGUAAUACGAAGGGGGCUAGCGUUGUUCGGAUUUACUGGGCGUAAAGCGCACGUAGGCGGAUCGUUAAGUCGGGGGUGAAAUCCUGGAGCUCAACUCCAGAACUGCCUUCGAUACUGGCGAUCUUGAGUCCGGAAGAGGUGAGUGGAACUCCUAGUGUAGAGGUGGAAUUCGUAGAUAUUAGGAAGAACACCGGUGGCGAAGGCGGCUCACUGGUCCGGUACUGACGCUGAGGUGCGAAAGCGUGGGGAGCAAACAGGAUUAGAAACCCCUGUAGUCC
rnacentral:rRNA from 1 species